rnacentral:rRNA from 1 species
UACAUGGGGUGCAAACGUUGCUCGGAAUUAUUGGGCGUAAAGCGCACGUAGGCGGUCCGUUAAGUCGGAUGUGAAAGCCCCCGGCUCAACCGGGGAAGUGCAUCCGAAACUGGCGGGCUAGAGUACGAAAGAGGGUCGCGGAAUUCCCGGUGUAGAGGUGAAAUUCGUAGAUAUCAUCAGGAACACCGGAGGCGAAGGCGGCUCACUGGGGAUUUUCUGACGCUGAGGAACGAAAGCCAGGGGAGCGAACGGG